UCACAGUAGAGGUCAAAGGUCAAACAUCUCACUGGACCUCACAGAGUCGGGUGAAGUUCAGCCCAAAACCUCUUCCUGUAUCCUUCAUCCAGACAGAUAGACCCAUAUACAGCCAAGGCCAAACAGUGCAUUUCAGAGUGGUCACCAUGGACACCAACUUCAUUCCACUCAGUGGAAAGUAUGACCGCAUAUCCCUGGAGGACUGCUCUGGCAACAUCAUUGGUCAAUGGCUUGAUGUGAAAUCAAGUCAGGCAGUCAAACACCAUCUCAGUCACAUGAGUUUAAAGUGAAAAAAUACGUUUUGCCAUCAUCAUCAUCAGUUAUGAAGCAGAAGAGCUCAGGCUGGAAGUGUGUGCAAAGAUACCAGAGGCAGCUAAACUACAAGCGCUAUAAUGGAGGCUACAGCACAUUUGGUAGAGGAGUAGGAAACACAUGGAAAAGACCAUGACGUUCUUAAAGUCCUACCACAGAGGGACACCCCCACCUCCAGCAGAUCUCCCGG